CUACGGGGCGCUGCAGUGGGGAAUAUUGGACAAUGGGGGAAACCCUGAUCCAGCAAUGCCGCGUGUGUGAAGAAGGCCUGCGGGUUGUAAAGCACUUUCGGUUGGGAGGACUGCUUCUAGCACUAAUAUUGUUGGAAGUUGACGUUACCUUCAGAAGAAGCACCGGCUAACUCCGUGCCAGCAGCCGCGGUAAUACGGAGGUGGCAAGCGUUAAUCGGAAUUACUGGGCGUAAAGCGCGCGUAGGCGGCUAGAUCAGUCGGGUGUGAAAGCCCCGGGCUUAACCUGGGAACUGCAUCCGAUACUGGCUAGCUUGAGUACAGGAGAGGAGAGUGGAAUUCCACAUGUAGCGGUGAAAUGCGUAGAUAUGUGGAGGAACACCAAUGGCGAAGGCAGCUCUCUGGCCUGAUACUGACGCUGAGGUGCGAAAGCGUGGGGGGCAAACAGGAUUAGAUACCCGUGUAGUC
rnacentral:rRNA from 1 species